rnacentral:lncRNA from 1 species
UUGAUCCAUUAUUUCUUCUUUUCAUCCUUUUCUUUAUCCAGUUCUCUUCUCUCCCUCAACAGAUCUCAGCCCUUCAUCUUUCCAAGAAAAGGCUAUGGAUUUGGAAGUACUCCGUUGUGGGAUAACAUCUAGGCCUUGCAUGCCACUGGACUGUUCUGUUUACCUGUUCCAGUAUUUUGAGAUCCCAGAUCAGCACAAAGGAAUCUGGUUAUAUUGUGACAGCUUCUCACCUUUGUAUUCCUUCUGUGUGGAUCUAAUGGCUAUGCCCAGUGUGAUCUUCCUUGGAACAAAGCUGAAACUGAAGCUUAUUUGUAAUUAUUUUCUCUUUAAAUGAUUGAUCAAAAAAUGAACCAUGUUCAUAUUAAUGAAAAUCGGGCCUUUCAAAAAAGAGCCCCUUUUUUACUUUAUGCUGUACUGCAAGGUAAAACUAAUAGCCACAUUUAUUAGUCGCAUUGAAAACAGCUGAAACUGUAGUUUUCAUUCUGAUAUGCUGCAAGUCACUACCUAAUACUUUCAGUCUGAGUUAGCUUUCUGCGACCUCCCCUCUGUUGGCUCUGUCCUGCCCCAUUCCGCACUCCCAAGUUCAGGACAGUUCUUCGCAAGGGUGCAGCUGCCUGCCAGGACCAUGGAGGUGAGCCGGCCUGCUGCUCAGGUGAGGGGCUGGCGGGUGGCCCCUGGUGGGGAGCCCCCCGGCUGGCCUGCCGCUCAGGUGAGGGGCCGGCGGUUGCACCCUGCAUGUUUCCCUUAUUAGCUCGACAGCAGGGAGCCGAUGGAGGCAAGAACAUCGGAGCCCUGGCUCUAAAGGGGCAGAAAAGGUGUUUCCUCUGCCUGGCGGAAGAGAUGUGCACAGUCUGGAGUAACAUCAGCUUCACUUCUGUGUUGCCUGUUACAUGGCAAAGUGAUUUCUGACUGCCAGCUUAAAAUUCUCCAAUGGCACAUACAUUUUCC